rnacentral:piRNA from 1 species
UGGACCAUGGAAGGAAAUGUAUUC